rnacentral:rRNA from 1 species
AAUAGAUACCCGGGUAGUCCACGCCGUAAACGAUGAGUGCUAAGUGUUAGGGGGUUUCCACCCCUUAGUGCUGCAGCUAACGCAUUAAGCACUCCGCCUGGGGAGUACGGUCGCAAGACUGAAACUCAAAGGAAUUGACGGGGGCCCGCACAAGCGGUGGAGCAUGUGGCUUAAUUCGAAGCAACGCGAAGAACCUUACCAGGUCUUGACAUCCCGCUGACCGCUAUGGAGACAUAGCCUUCCCUUCGGGGACAGCGGUGACAGGUGGUGCAUGGUUGUCGUCAGCUCGUGUCGUGAGAUGUUGGGUUAAGUCCCGCAACGAGCGCAACCCUUGUCCUUAGUUGCCAUCAUUCAGUUGGGCACUCUAAGGAGACUGCCGUACAAAUACGGAGGAAGGUGGGGAUGACGUCAAAUCAUCAUGCCCCUUAUGACCUGGGCUACACACGUGCUACAAUGGACGGUACAAACGGUCGCGAAGUCGCGAGACGGAGCCAAUCCGAAAAAACCGUUCUCAGUUCGGAUUGCAGGCUGC